rnacentral:lncRNA from 1 species
CUUUCAAAAACGAAUUAAUAUCUAUUCUACAUAGUCCUACUUCUAUUUAUGGAGCAUCCUCGUAAACACUCAAUUGAUACCUAUCUAAAAAUUAUCUAACAAAUCUCUAUAAAAAUUGCGAUCCCUCUGGCCUAUUUAAUUAAUCAAUUACCGUAGAAUCUGUUAUUGGUUCCACCAAUUCCGAUUCCAACUACAAAUCUUUGUCCUCAUCCAAUCCUUCUAUUGGCUCCUGCCUCAAUUGAGCUG